UACGGAGGGUGCAAGCGUUAUCCGGAUUUACUGGGUUUAAAGGGUGCGUAGGCGGACAGGUAAGUCCGUGGUGAAAUCUCUGAGCUUAACUCAGAAACUGCCAUGGAUACUAUUUGUCUUGAAUACUGUGGAGGUAAGCGGAAUAUGUCAUGUAGCGGUGAAAUGCUUAGAUAUGACAUGGAACACCAAUUGCGAAGGCAGCUUACUACACAGCUAUUGACGCUGAGGCACGAAAGCGUGGGGAGCAAACAGG
rnacentral:rRNA from 1 species